rnacentral:rRNA from 1 species
UACGUAGGGUGCAAGCGUUAUCCGGAAUUAUUGGGCGUAAAGAGCUCGUAGGCGGUUUGUCGCGUCUGCUGUGAAAACCCGAGGCUCAACCUCGGGCCUGCAGUGGGUACGGGCAGACUAGAGUGCGGUAGGGGAGAUUGGAAUUCCUGGUGUAGCGGUGGAAUGCGCAGAUAUCAGGAGGAACACCGAUGGCGAAGGCGGGUCUCUGGGCCGAUACUGACGCUGAGGAGCGAAAGCGUGGGGAGCGAACAGG